rnacentral:sRNA from 1 species
ACAAAGGGCCGCGGGCGGCGGGCAGUGGUGUCCCAGUCUCCCGGUGCUUCCCUCAGGCUGAGGCGCCCGGCCUCCCGCCCGCCGCGCUCCAGAUGAAGUGUGAGCACUGCACGCGCAAGGAAUGUAGUAAGAAAACAAAAACUGAUGACCAAGAGAAUGUGUCAGCCGAUGCACCGAGUCCAGCCCAGGAAAAUGGAGAGAAGGGAGAAUUCCACAAGUUGGCUGAUGCCAAGAUAUUUUUGAGCGACUGCCUGGCAUGUGACAGCUGUGUGACUGCAGAGGAAGGAGUCCAACUUUCCCAGCAAAAUGCCAAGGAUUUCUUCCGCGUUCUGAACCUUAACAAGAAAUGUGAUACCUCAAAGCACAAAGUGCUGGUAGUGUCUGUGUGUCCUCAAUCUUUGCCUUAUUUUGCUGCUAAAUUCAACCUCAGUGUAACUGAUGCAUCCAGAAGACUCUGUGGUUUCCUCAAAAGUCUUGGGGUGCACUAUGUAUUUGACACGACAAUAGCUGCAGAUUUUAGUAUCCUGGAGAGUCAAAAAGAAUUCGUGCGUCGCUAUCGCCAGCACAGUGAGGAGGAACGCACCCUGCCCAUGCUGACCUCUGCCUGUCCUGGCUGGGUCCGAUACGCCGAGCGGGUGCUGGGUCGCCCCAUCACUGCCCACCUCUGCACCGCCAAGUCCCCCCAGCAGGUCAUGGGCUCUUUGGUGAAGGAUUAUUUCGCCAGACAGCAGAACCUGUCUCCAGAGAAGAUUUUCCACGUCAUUGUGGCCCCUUGUUAUGACAAGAAGCUGGAGGCUCUUCAGGAAAGCCUUCCCCCUGCUUUGCAUGGCUCCCGGGGCGCUGACUGCGUGUUAACAUCAGGUGAAAUUGCUCAAAUAAUGGAGCAAGGUGACCUCUCAGUGAGAGAUGCUGCCGUCGACACUCUGUAAGUGGCUUCUCUGGGGAGAGUCCUCUGGGGGGCAGGACCUCUCGUCAGCCCUGCCAGCCACCUGCCAGGCCCAGGGCUGCCCUGCUUUAUGACGAGGCCAUGUGAAGCACUGCGAUGCAGUCCCCCAGGCCCCUGCCACAACCCUCAGCCACCCUAUAGCUGUUGAAUGGGAUACCAUUCACCAGGGCUGCCAGGGAGUUGAAGGCUUGGCGGGCUUCCAUGGUGUGAUUGCCACCCUAAACCCUUGAGGAAGGACAAAAUGCACAAACAGCUUUGUCCUCGCUGGCGCAGGGCUGUUCAUGUGUGCACCAGCCCCCUUCUUCCUGAGUGCCGUCUGUGCCUCACAUUCCGUGUGGUCUAUGGGGCAGUGGGGCAGCUCCCUCAGGCCCCUUUGCACCAAGAGUGGCAGUCUGGGUUCUGCUGGGGGCGGUGACCUCGAUACCCAGCAAGGCCCAGGGCUCCUGCUGCACCCCAGGCACUGGACAGAGAGCACCACAAAGGCAGUGGCGUGUGUCCUCGCCAACAGUCCGCAUCCCAGGUGCUGCAUUCGUGCCCUUUUGGGGGAAGGUAAGAUAGAAGUUUACAGAAUUUAAGCAUCUGUGGGGCCAGGCGUGGUGGCUCACACCUAUAAUCACAGUACUUUGGGAGGCUGAGGUAGGAGGAUCGCUUGAGUCCAGGAGGCUGGGGCUGUAGUGAGCUAUGAUUGUGCCACUGCACUCCAGCCUGAGAGACAGAACAAGACCCUGUCUCCAAAAGAAAAAGACCAUAAGCAUCUGGAGCACCUGCAAGAGCCUGUGCAUGGGCUCGGCGUGACUGAGAGUCCUCCGCCUGGCCCGAGCAUCAGGCAGGCCCUCCCAAGACCCCUCAAGAUGCUAGAAUGGGACUUUCUGCAAAGUUUAAACAUCUGUACAGGAUUUAGCUUCUUUGGUGGCAAACUUGGAUUGUGAUGCCCUCAGGAAGUCUGGUUUCACUCUUUCUGUCACUGUACGUCGGCAUUCAUGAAGGACUUGUAUUUUCUCUGCCUGGUGAGGUUUGGAGACUUGAAGGAGGACAAGGUGACGCGCCAUGAUGGAGCCAGCUCGGACGGGCACCUGGCACACAUCUUCAGACAUGCGGCCAAGGAGCUGUUCAACGAGGAUGUGGAGGAGGUCACUUACCGAGCCCUGAGAAACAAAGACUUCCAAGAGGUCACCCUUGAGAAGAACGGAGAGGUGGUGUUACGCUUUGCUGCAGCCUAUGGCUUUCGAAACAUCCAGAACAUGAUCCUGAAGCUUAAGAAGGGCAAGUUCCCAUUCCACUUUGUGGAGGUCCUCGCCUGUGCUGGAGGAUGCUUAAAUGGCAGAGGCCAAGCCCAGACUCCAGACGGACAUGCGGAUAAGGCCCUGCUGCGGCAGAUGGAAGGCAUUUACGCUGACAUCCCUGUGCGGCGUCCAGAGUCCAGUGCACACGUGCAGGAGCUGUACCAGGAGUGGCUGGAGGGGAUCAACUCCCCCAAGGCCCGAGAGGUGCUGCAUACCACGUACCAGAGCCAGGAGCGUGGCGCACACAGCCUGGACAUCAAGUGGUGAAGUGAGGCCAGGGCCUUCCAGCUGCUCUUGGGGCCAGAGCCAAGAGCCUCUCAGUAGAGGGAGGGGCUGCCCUGAGUGGAGUAUUAAAGACACUUAAGAAAA